CAGUAGCCGCGGUAAUACGUAGGUGGCAAGCGUUGUCCGGAAUUAUUGGGCGUAAAGGGCUCGCAGGCGGUUUCUUAAGUCUGAUGUGAAAGCCCCCGGCUCAACCGGGGAGGGUCAUUGGAAACUGGGAAACUUGAGUGCAGAAGAGGAGAGUGGAAUUCCACGUGUAGCGGUGAAAUGCGUAGAGAUGUGGAGGAACACCAGUGGCGAAGGCGACUCUCUGGUCUGUAACUGACGCUGAGGUGCGAAAGCGUGGGGAGCGAACAGGAUUAGAUACCCCUGUAGUCCCUGUCUCUUAUAC
rnacentral:rRNA from 1 species